rnacentral:sRNA from 2 species
CCUAAAAACACGCUUAAUUCCCGGUGGCAAUGUCCGGGAAGCGGGGGAACCAGUCAAUUGGGGCGAAUCGUCCGCCGGCCGGACGUAGGGGACCAUCGACCCGAGCCCGUCAGCUAACCUCGUCAGCGGGAGAUGGGUCUGAAU